CUCCUACGGGAGGCAGCAGUAAGGAAUAUUGGUCAAUGGACGCAAGUCUGAACCAGCCAUGCCGCGUGGAGGAUGAAGGUCCUCUGGAUUGUAAACUUCUUUAUCUGGAGAACCAUUUUUCUAAAUUGGCUGACGGUACCAGAUGAAUAAGCACCGGCUAACUCCGUGCCAGCAGCCGCGGUAAUAC
rnacentral:rRNA from 1 species